AUUGAACGCUGGCGGCAGGCUUAACACAUGCAAGUCGAGCGGAGCGAGGGUGCUUGCACCUUAGCUUAGCGGCGGACGGGUGAGUAAUGCUUAGGAAUCUGCCUAUUAGUGGGGGACAACAUUCCGAAAGGGAUGCUAAUACCGCAUACGCCCUACGGGGGAAAGCAGGGGAUCUUCGGACCUUGCGCUAAUAGAUGAGCCUAAGUCGGAUUAGCUAGUUGGUGGGGUAAAGGCCUACCAAGGCGACGAUCUGUAGCGGGUCUGAGAGGAUGAUCCGCCACACUGGGACUGAGACACGGCCCAGACUCCUACGGGAGGCAGCAGUGGGGAAUAUUGGACAAUGGGGGGAACCCUGAUCCAGCCAUGCCGCGUGUGUGAAGAAGGCCUUUUGGUUGUAAAGCACUUUAAGCGAGGAGGAGGCGCUCUAGGUUAAUACCCUAGAUGCGAGGACGUACUUCGCAGAAUAAGCCCC
rnacentral:rRNA from 1 species